rnacentral:piRNA from 1 species
UUGAUAUUUCUGUUUCUUCUGGCCA